rnacentral:lncRNA from 1 species
AGCAAUGCUACGUGGAAUUGCAUGUCGGUAUCUUCUGAGAGGUUGUUCUCUCUCCACUUCUCAUUCAAGUCUGAAGAUGCUUACAGUCACCUGCAGUACUUCUAAAUCAGAGUUUUGAGAUGGAAGAGGUCACAGCUCCAAUGAUCUCAGCCGAAGAAGAUGAGGAAGAAGACCAGCACAAGUGAGUCUCUCUCAAAUCAGCUUUUGCUGGUAUCAGGAUUUCUCUGGAGGACUCAACAAAGUCCUCUCCAUGCCUGAGAUUCCUACAAUGAUUGAAAUUCCAUUGUUUCUUCCCCGUGGAAUAACCAUAAGCUUCCUGAGGGAGUGCACCUCAGAGAGGCCUCGCCUGGGACUUGAAAGUAAGGAGAAAACAGCACAAGAAUUUUCUGGGGAAUAAAGAUGUCCUCUGAAGUUCUAAGCCAAGCAGAGAGAAAACUCACAUUUAUUUUAUAAAAGGUCAACUCUUAGGAUAUGUUCCGAUAUUACUAGCUUUUCUCAACACUAUGACAGAACAUCUGACAGGAACAAUUUAAAGGAAGAAGUUUUUAUAUUAAUUCUUGGUUUGGGGCAGAUGCAACCCAUCAUGGCAGAAGGCAGGGUGGUGGAAGCACAAAGCCACUGGUUACAUUGUGACAGAAAGCAGAGAUCAGAGUAAGAUCUGAGCUGGUCCUCAGCUGGCUUCCUCUCUUUUUAUUCAAUCUGGGAUUCUAGUUUAUGAGAUGUUGCUACUGAGGGUGGGUUCUUUCUCCAAUGGGUAAACAUCUCUAGAAAUGUUCUCACGAAUACACCUAGAAUUGUGUCUCCUAUGUGAUUCCAGAUCCAGUUAAGUUGACAGUUGAAGAUAAAACCAUUAUACUUCUUAGUCUCAUUUAUUCCUUGAACUAGACAAGAAGGAGCCCAGACAAGGUUGCUGUACCAGCAUCUGGAAUAUCCAGAUUGUUCUCCAUUCUGGUUAGGUUUGUUUGCUUUGUUUUCUUGUCAACUUGACAUAAGCGACAGUUUUCUGAGAAGAAACACAACUGAGAAAAUGCCUCCAUCAGACUGCCUAAAAGUCUGUAGGGUGGUUUAUUGUUGUUGUUAGUUGGUCAGUUUUGAUUUUUGUUUUGUUUCUUUUUUCUUUCUUUUUUUUUUUUUCCGUAAAUUAAUGACUGAUUCGGAAGCAUCCAGCCCACUGUACGCUGUGGCAUUUGGACAGGUUCUUGCCUCGAGUUCCUGCUCUGCCUUCAUUUCACUAUACCUAGAAGCUGAAAUAAACUAUUUCCUCCACAA